AACAAAAGAAAAACCUUGAAGAGGGAUUUUGAAGUGAACCCUAAAGUUCUCAAAGGAAAUCAAAAACUAAAAAGUAACAACUCCUGAAAGAAAUCCAUGACCUCCUCUCUGACCACACACCAAUACUGCUGAAAGAAAGCCAUUAAACCCAAGCAUCUUAUCCCCUACACAUGAAUGAAAAACUGACACAACUCUGUAAAGAGCUGCUCAUAGAAACUCACAAUACCCCUGCUAUCCUGCCUCCUUAGUCACUCCCGUACACAACAAAAAAUUAGAAUUACUAUAGUGUGAAUUACUGCUAGUCUGCUACAGUUUUUGAAAGUAGCAUACUCCUGCAAAACCUGCCAAAACAGUAAAACUCCUGAAAGAAAUCCAUCACCUCCUCUCUGAUUACACACCAACACUGCUGAAAGAAAGCCAUCAAAAAAAGCAUUAAACCAAAGCACCUUUUCCCCUACACACGAACGAAAAACUGCCAUGACCC
rnacentral:lncRNA from 1 species